rnacentral:lncRNA from 1 species
GGGACACGGGUGGAAACUGGUAACUUCUAGUAUUGAGUUCCAGCUCAUGAACAGGGAUCCUGGUCUCUCUGCUCUCCCCUUCUCUCUACCCCUCUCAAGUUUCAUUUCGUGUCAUGACAUGAGGCUUCACAGUGGCCAGGGCAGCUGGGGCCGUAGAGGACAUGGCCUGGACUCUCAUCCCUUCCUGUAGCUUCGGGGCACAAGGUCUCUCUCUGUCACCCAGGCUGGAGUACAGUGCUGUGGUCAUAGCUCACUGCAGCCUCGAACUCCUGGGCUCAAGUGGUCCUCCUGAUUGGCCUAAGGUUCCCCGGAAAAGCCAGACUUGCACUCAGGUCACCUGACUCCAAAGGACAUCGUGUCCCUGCAGUGAAAUCUCACUGCCCUUUCUCCUUCCAGGGGGUGAGUUUCUG